UUAAGUCUGAUGUGAAAGCCCCCGGCUCAACCCGGGGAGGGUCAUUGGAAACUGGGGAACUUGAGUGCAGAAGAGGAGAGUGGAAUUCCACGUGUAGCGGUGAAAUGCGUAGAGAUGUGGAGGAACACCAGUGGCGAAGGCGACUCUCUGGUCUGUAACUGACGCUGAGGCGCGAAAGCGUGGGGAGCGAACAGGAUUAGAUACCCUGGUAGUCCACGCCGUAAACGAUGAGUGCUAAGUGUUAGAGGGUUUCCGCCCUUUAGUGCUGCAGCAAACGCAUUAAGCACUCCGCCUGGGGAGUACGGUCGCAAGACUGAAACUCAAAGGAAUUGACGGGGGCCCGCACAAGCGGUGGAGCAUGUGGUUUAAUUUGAAGCAACGCGAAGAACCUUACCAGGUCUUGACAUCCUCUGACAACCCUAGAGAUAGGGCUUCCCCUUCGGGGGCAGAGUGACAGGUGGUGCAUGGUUGUCGUCAGCUCGUGUCGUGAGAUGUUGGGUUAAGUCCCGCAACGAGCGCAACCCUUGAUCUUAGUUGCCAGCAUUCAGUUGGGCACUCUAAGGUGACUGCCGGUGACAAACCGGAGGAAGGUGGGGAUGACGUCAAAUCAUCAUGCCCCUUAUGACCUGGGCUACACACGUGCUACAAUGGGCAGAACAAAGGGCAGCGAAGCCGCGAGGCUAAGCCAAUCCCACAAAUCUGUUCUCAGUUCGGAUCGCAGUCUGCAACUCGACUGCGUGAAGCUGGAAUCGCUAGUAAUCGCGGAUCAGCAUGCCGCGGUGAAUACGUUCCCGGGCCUUGUACACACCGCCCGUCACACCACGAGAGUUUGUAACACCCGAAGUCGGUGAGGUAACCUUUUGGAGCCAGCCGCCGAAGGUGGGACAGAUGAUUGGGGUGAAGUCG
rnacentral:rRNA from 1 species